rnacentral:rRNA from 1 species
AGAAUCAACGCUGGCGGCGUGCCUAACACAUGCAAGUCGAACGAGAAAGUGGAGCAAUCCAUGAGUAAAGUGGCGACCGGGUGAGUAACACGUGACUAACCUACCUUCGAGUGGGGGAUAACCUCGGGAAACCGGGGCUAAUACCGCAUAACAUCUUUGAAGUGGAAAUUUCGGAGAUCAAAGGAGCAAUUCGCUGGAAGAGGGGGUCGCGGCUGAUUAGCUAGUUGGCGGGUAACGCCCACCAAGGCUUAGAUCGGUA